CGCAUGGCCUCUGUGCUGG
rnacentral:siRNA from 1 species